GAUGAACGCUGGCGGCGUGCUUAACACAUGCAAGUCGAACGAAGAAGAGUUGAAUGAGAGCUUCGGCAGGAUUUCUUCUCAUCUUAGUGGCGGACGGGUGAGUAACGUGUGGGCAACCUGCCCUAUACUGGGGAAUAAUCACUGGAAACGGUGACUAAUACCGCAUGUCAUCACCGGAGGGCAUCCUCUGGUAGAAAAAAAGGAGUAAUUCGGUAUAGGAUGGGCCCGCAUCUGAUUAGCUAGUUGGUGAGAUAACAGCCCACCAAGGCGACGAUCAGUAGCCGACCUGAGAGGGUGAUCGGCCACAUUGGGACUGAGACACGGCCC
rnacentral:rRNA from 1 species